GGCGCGGUUCCGGGCGCCAGGCCUCCGGCCGCCCUCUCACCCUGGCGACGCCGCGCGCAGGAGCCCGAUUCCCGGCUUUCCGGGGGCACCGAUACCGGUGAAGAGGCCGAGCGAGUCCGCAAGCACAACGAGUCCGGGUUGGCGAGAAGCCUGGUACUGGCCAUCAGGAACCUGAUGCUGACCUUGACUCCCCUUACCUGCUGGGCAGACUUUUCCUAUAGUCCCCAGGAGCCCAGCUGAAGGCCAUUUGAAUGGCCCUGCCAGUAUCACACCUGAAGGGCCCUCUCCACCGGAGACUCUGAACCAGCAUCCCAGGGUAGGAUACGGGCCCCUGACUUUCUCUGGGGGUAUCUUUCCAGUCCACCAGAGGUUCCUUCCCACCCCCACCCCUUUUUAAAUUAUAAAAGUAAUACAAGCUUACUUAGAGCUUACAGUGCAGUGAAGGAGACAGAUUUUAAAAAGUAAACAAAUAAAGACAAUAUUUACACAUAUGGUUAGUAGACAGUAAUAGUGGUGGGUGGCAGGGAACCUUUAUUAAGUAGGCUGGUAAAGGCAGGCUUGCCCGAGCCAGAGGAAUUUCAAACUGAAAGUUUGAAGGAUGAGAAGGAUCUACUCAUUAAAAGAAGAAGGAAGAGCAUGUGCAAAGGUCCUGAGGUAGGAGAGAGCUUGUUAAGCUGAAAGUCACUAAGUGUGACUAGAUUGGAGUGAACUGGAGGGGAGUGGUCCCAGUGUGGUUGGAAAGGGCAGCAGGCA